rnacentral:misc_RNA from 1 species
UGUUUCGCCUACAAAAUCAGGAAGAGUGGAGCUUCAUUGCUAUCGUAUGUGCUCGAGAAACGAAAAGAGGUUCCAUGUAUUCUUCAAGGAAAGAUUUUGGCCACUGAGGCAAUGGAACAGAACUUGCUCUUCAGACGUUUGUUAGCAAUGCAAUGGCAUUAAAAAAACUCAUGUUAUCGCCUGUGAUUUCUCAGCUGAAACCCUUUUCUUUAAAAUGAUUAAUGAGACCAUAAAGUGCCAAUUCUGCUGCAGCUAUUGAUUAUCCAUUACUCCUUUCCAUCUUAGCCUGGUUUUAUUUAAUUGCAG